rnacentral:rRNA from 1 species
CAUGCAAGUCGAGGGGCAGCAUGAUUGAAGCUUGCUUCAAUUGAUGGCGACCGGCGCACGGGUGAGUAACGCGUAUCCAACCUUCCGUACACUCAGGGAUAGCCUUUCGAAAGAAAGAUUAAUACCUGAUGGUAUGAUGAGAUUGCAUGAUAUCAUCAUUAAAGAUUCAUCGGUGUACGAUGGGGAUGCGUUCCAUUAGGUAGUAGGCGGGGUAACGGCCCACCUAGCCUACGAUGGAUAGGGGUUCUGAGAGGAAGGUCCCCCACAUUGGAACUGAGACACGGUCCAAACUCCUACGGGAGGCAGCAGUGAGGAAUAUUGGUCAAUGGACGAGAGUCUGGACCAGCCAAGUAGCGUGAAGGAUGAAGGUCCUACGGAUUGUAAACUUCUUUUAUAAGGGAAUAAAACCUCCCACGUGUGGGAGCUUGUAUGUACCUUAUGAAUAAGCAUCGGCUAACUCCGUGCCAGCAGCCGCGGUAAUACGGAGGAUGCGAGCGUUAUCCGGAUUUAUUGGGUUUAAAGGGAGCGCAGACGGGUCGUUAAGUCAGCUGUGAAAGUUUGGGGCUCAACCUUAAAAUUGCAGUUGAUACUGGCGUCCUUGAGUGCGGUUGAGGUGUGCGGAAUUCGUGGUGUAGCGGUGAAAUGCUUAGAUAUCACGAAGAACUCCGAUUGCGAAGGCAGCACACUAAGCCGUAACUGACGUUCAUGCUCGAAAGUGUGGGUAUCAAACAGGAUUAGAUACCCUGGUAGUCCACACGGUAAACGAUGGAUACUCGCUGUUGGCGAUAUACAGUCAGCGGCUUAGCGAAAGCGUUAAGUAUCCCACCUGGGGAGUACGCCGGCAACGGUGAAACUCAAAGGAAUUGACGGGGGCCCGCACAAGCGGAGGAACAUGUGGUUUAAUUCGAUGAUACGCGAGGAACCUUACCCGGGCUUAAAUUGCAAAGGAAUGAUCUGG